rnacentral:rRNA from 1 species
GUCCUCUUGAUUUUAAUUUGAGGUUUAACCUGCCCACUGAAAUAUUUAAAUGGCCGCAGUAAUUUGACUGUGCAAAGGUAGCAUAAUCAUUAGUUUUUUAAUUAAAAGCUUGUAUGAAGGGUUGGACGAGGUAAAAUCUGUCUCUAUUUAAUUUAUAAUAAAAUUUAAUUUUUAAGUUAAAAAGCUUAAAUAAUAUUAAAAGACGAGAAGACCCUAUAGAUCUUUAUAUUAUUUAAAUUAAUUUUAAUAUAGAAUUAUUUAUUUUUUAAUUUAAAUAAUAUUUUAUUGGGGUAAUAAAAAGAUUAAAAAAAUUCUUUUUAAAGUUUACAUUGAUAUAUGAUUAAGUGAUCCAAUUUUUUUGAUUAAAAGAUUAAGUUACCUUAGGGAUAACAGCGUAAUUUUUUUGAAGAGUUCAUAUCGAUAAAAAAGUUUGCGA